UACGUAGGGUGCAAGCGUUAAUCGGAGUUACUGGGCGUAAAGGGUGUGUAGGCGGUUCUUUUAAGUUUGGUGUGAAAUCUCCCGCUCAACUGGGAGGGUGCGCCGAAUACUGAGGGACUAGAGUACGGGAGAGGAAAGUGGAAUUCCUGGUGUAGCGGUGAAAUGCGUAGAUAUCAGGAGGAACACCGGUGGUGUAGACGGCUUUCUGGACCGUAACUGACGCUGAGACACGAAAGCGUGGGUAGCAAACAGG
rnacentral:rRNA from 1 species